UACGUAGGGGGCAAGCGUUGUCCGGAAUCAUUGGGCGUAAAGCGCGUGUAGGCGGUUCGGUAAGUCCGCUGUGAAAGUCCAGGGCUCAACCCUGGGAUGCCGGUGGAUACUGUCGGACUAGAGUACGGAAGAGGCGAGUGGAAUUCCCGGUGUAGCGGUGAAAUGCGCAGAUAUCGGGAGGAACACCAAUUGCGAAGGCGGCUUCCUGGCCUGUUCUUGACGCUGAGGCGCGAAAGCUAGGGGAGCAAACGGG
rnacentral:rRNA from 1 species